AACUCACGUCGCCCCGGCGGAGGCCGGGGCCGCAAGAGCCUCUAGCGACCCGGCCUCCGCCGCGGUGACGUCCUCA
rnacentral:pre_miRNA from 1 species